AUGCAACUUUUUUGUGAUUUGUGCUUGAUAUCAUUGGUGUUUGGUCCAAUCAGUGUAAUAGGAAAUGAUUACUUUCUUGGAGUUGAGGGUGGUUCAAAAAACCAUGGCGUCGUAGGUAAGACCUAUUUCAAUGCUGAGGCCGAACAAGGUCAAAGUAUCAGAGAAAUCAGUGCUCAUCGACAGAGAAAGUCUUUGUUUUAUCGUCCUUCGUUUUUAGGAGGCUCUACAACAAGGAAAAUAAACCCAAGCACAGAGGACCGGCAGCAAAAUGUGAACUCCUUCUCUGCAGAAGUCUCCAACAGUCGAGGAAUAUCAGCACCACCACAAGAGGCCGAAUACUCAGCAUACCCACAAAGUAUUAAUUUAGAAUCUAAUUCACUUCCGGAGCGGAACGAUAAACCACAUUCCAGAGUUCAGGAAAGUCUCUCGAAUAUCCUAGGUUCCCUUCAAAAACGGGAAGCGAACGCUCCGACCGCCCAUGCGCUCUCUUUCAAGAGAGGAAUAUCCAGUACCAUUUCAAAUUCACCCCAAUCAGGAACCAGCGAAGCACCUGUUUUGGGAAACCAAGAGGCAGUGAGCAACGUUUCAUCUGAUGAUUCCGACGAGCCAGAUGCGCAUGGAUCAACCUAUCAUAGAGUUAAGGUUGCCCCACUGGAGAGUCCGACAAAAGGGCGCAAUGGAGCGAAUCUCCUCGACGCCAAAAUUAGGGAUCUGACCAACCAGGUCAACGCUGUUAGCAACCCCAGAUCCGGACUGGUUCACGACAAGUCAGACCUGGAGUUACUCAACGAUAUAAUCGACAGAGCGGGAAAGACGUUUUCUAGCGGGAAGAGAAUCAGGAGUCUAGAGAAGAGCGCGCUCCACGAAUCCAGUCAAUACGCUGACCGAGCGAAUUUUCACAAGAAAAUUUCGACAAAGGAAACUAGGAGCAAAGAUGAGAUAUCACUAGACUCGGACUUGGAGCGGAUGAUCCAAGACGCUGCAGAGAAGAUAGGUCUCUGGGUUAACCAGAAUUUCGACACCGCCAGGAAAAUGACCAAGUCAAAGUUGAGAGCCGAUUCCACGGGGAAAGAACACACCAAGACUUUCUCAGAGGAGACCACUGAUAAGGUGGCCAAGUCUUUAAGCGCCGAAAACCCAAGCCGGAGACGUAAAAUCUUGGACGCUGAAGCCAAAAGAGCAGCGCUCAAGAUACUCAUCCACGCUGCCACAGCUAGACCUGAAAGCGAGGCCUCCUCCGAUCUUGAGGUUGAGAUCGAGGAGCCGCCGAAACACAAAAAAGGCUCCGGGAAACUGAGCAUCGGCGAGGUGAAGAAAGUGAGAACAACAACCCUACCACCUUGCAUGACGGCACGUAACUCCGAGUGCACCCGAUGGAAAACCACCCCGCGCAAAACAGCUACCACCGCGAAAUGCACAACGAUCGACCCUAAAGUCGCCGAAGACUGCACCAAACCAUCGUCUCCGGCACCGAAAGCAACUUGUAAACCCUGCGCAGAGACGGCAACCCACAAGACUCGCGCGUCGAGUGCGCGGCCCAAAAAGGUGCCGACGACGACCGAGCCUUGCGACGCAUCGGAUAGACUCCUCAAGAUAUUGAACGGAACCCUCAGGACGGACAACUUCAGCAGGCCGGACCAGAGCAGUCUGGCAGAAUUGAUGCGCGUCCUGCUCACCGAGCUCGUCUCCAAUUCUUCAAGGCACGCUGAAAUUCCCUCGGGGAAACCGGACGACACGGCACGCUUCAACAAAUCCGCUACAGAGUGCGCUAACCCCGUUUUGGAUUCGAGCAAAUCCAAAGAUUUCACACCGGACCGCUCACUCAAGAACACCAACAAUCGACUUUUGAGUAAUUUUGUCAAUUUCGCCACUUUAGAAGCGGCUAGGAGGCGUGGUGCGACCGAAAGACAGUCCGCGGCGCAAGACAAGGGGCCUAUGGUGAACGGCAGGGAAUCCACCCCACAAAACAAGGAGGCUGCGUCUCAAGAUAGGCAACCAGUGGCGCAAGAUAAGCAACUCGCCGUGCAAGAUAGGCAAAGCGUAUCGAAGAGCGUGGAGAGCACGGUAUCGCCACUGGGAGCGCUUACGGUGUUGCUGGACCUGAUGCGGGGUCAGUCAAAUGACCCGGAUUCAAGCGAUCACCUGCGGUUGCAGCCUUUUGGUGAGAACGGCCCGGUAGCUUUGAAUGUCUUCAUCAAAGCAGCCAUCAUCCCCGAGUUCAAGAAUGUGUCUGUGGCAAACGGCAAGGUGCGGAGUGCAGAGAGGGCCAAUCUUCAAGCUGGGCAUCCCGAAAUACGCAGAGGAGCGCAGAAGUGACGCCCACUUUAGCCAGUCCCCACAGUCGGUACAACGACAACACACUUAACAAUCUACUCAAGUCUAUCAUAGUUAAGGCGCGCUUCGAGCGGCCUGUUGAGCCAGAGAUGUUACAGGUUCCAACCGGAAGGCAACUUAGGUGACUCUACAGUAUAAGUACCUGCACUUUCUUGUUCCCUGAUUGUGACGACUUAUUUUCGUAAUCUAGACAGAUUCUCAUGAUUUACCUUAAGCAAUUUAUAAACGUCAAAUUCGUGAAAGCCCCCCCCCCUUUUCCUCCACUUCAAUCGCGUAAUCUGCUCUAAGAUGUCCAUGCUAAUUGUGAACGUCUUGCAGCACUGAAUUUAAUCCAUAUGUGUCUCGACUGUUCAACUCUCUUGUAAUUAAUUUUUUCAUGUUGACAAAUGCAUUAAAUCAAUUUAGCUGCAGUAAUUCAGACGAACAUCAGAGAAGGAGGGUCUGUUUCUUAUUCACACACAGACUUUCUGAUGGAUGGCUGGUUGAUUCAGGGCAAAAAUGGGGUAAAAUACUGAAAUUACACGUUUAUAAAAGUUGUAAAGGAAAAAAAAGUCAUGAAAAUCUAAGUCGAAUUUUGCCUUAAAAAGGCACGUUUUAAGUGUAGGAUUCAGCGGAAAUAAUCAAUCAGUUUAGUUUAAAAUUCAUCCUUAUCAUACGUUAAUACAUUUUAAGCAUGUAAAUGAUCAGUGUAUGUUUAGAUAUUUAAAAACUUUCGUUUUCAACAUCGUAGUUGCUUUUCAUUGUGUUUUCCAAGAGUCCCGGCCCCCAAGUAUAGCAUUAAUGAAUAUUUGACCAUUGCCAAAAUACGAAAGCCAUGAAUUGAUGUUGAUUUAUACAAUUGAUAAUUACGGCUAAAUUGUAUUACUCAUCGAAUAUCAAUUGCUUUCAACUAGGUUUGACAACGAUCAACUGAUAAUUUGAACUUGUGAAAAUUAUGUCCUCUAUAUUAAUGGCACUAAAUGGAUUGGAGGAUUAAGUAUGAAUCACACGACAACGAUAAUCUCAUGGAUUCUUUCAAC
rnacentral:lncRNA from 1 species